AUGAUGCAACGUUGAAAGUUGGCUUUCGAGCUAACACUGUAGGAUGGGCCCGCGGCGCAUUAGCUAGUUGGUAAGGUAACGGCUUACCAAGGCCACGAUGCGUAGCCGACCUGAGAGGGUGAUCGGCCACACUGGGACUGAGACACGGCCCAGACUCCUACGGGAGGCAGCAGUAGGGAAUCUUCCGCAAUGGACGAAAGUCUGACGGAGCAACGCCGCGUGAGUGACGAAGGCCUUCGGGUCGUAAAGCUCUGUUGUUAGGGAAGAACAAGUACCGUUCGAAUAGGGCGGUACCUUGACGGUACCUAACCAGAAAGCCACGGCUAACUACGUGCCAGCAGCCGCGGUAAUACGUAGGUGGCAAGCGUUGUCCGGAAUUAUUGGGCGUAAAGCGCGCGCAGGCGGUCUCUUAAGUCUGAUGUGAAAGCCCACGGCUCAACCGUGGAGGGCCAUUGGAAACUGGGGGACUUGAGUGCAGAAAAGGAGAGUGGAAUUCCACGUGUAGCGGUGAAAUGCGUAGAUAUGUGGAGGAACACCAGUGGCGAAGGCGGCUCUCUGGUCUGUAACUGACGCUGAGGCGCGAAAGCGUGGGGAGCGAACAGGAUUAGAUACCCUGGUAGUCCACGCCGUAAACGAUGAGUGCUAGGUGUUGGGGGGUUCCACCCUCAGUGCUGAAGUUAACACAUUAAGCACUCCGCCUGGGGGAGUACGACCGCAAGGUUGAAACUCAAAGGAAUUGACGGGGGCCCGCACAAGCAGUGGAGCAUGUGGUUUAAUUCGAAGCAACGCGAAGAACCUUACCAA
rnacentral:rRNA from 1 species